rnacentral:lncRNA from 1 species
ACAGAAAAUAACUUCAUUCUGCAAUUGAAAGAAUCACAGCAAGCUCUCAUUGUAUCAAGGCAAACUGGCGGUCAUACUCUUCUCUAAAUGAGCCAACACUCCCUAGGAGACCUCAGUAGAACUCCCUCUUCUCUGCUGGAAAGGUUUUGCCUCCCCAGGACCCAUCCCUCACCAUCCAUGCAUGACAUUCUGGCCUCAAGUAUCCACUCCUCAAAGGAAAAGAAAUUGGAGAGAUUCGCCUUGAAAAUAAGCCUUCAUAUUAGUGACUUCCUUCUUUUAAAGGACAUCGAACAAGUUUUGGUAACUUGUUAUUCGAGAGGAAUGUCCAAGAGGACUGGGAUUUAAUAAUUAUGCAAGGAGAAGAAAUGUGGAUUUGUGUUGACAAUAGACAACGGGUGAUAACUUCUUCAUGAAGCCUGGGCAAUUCAAGGCUGCAACUUAAAUGAAAGUGUGGACAAGAGUGAUCCACUCACAUUCCUGGAGUGAUAACAAAGCAACUUGUCUGCUUCAUCUUGGAGGCUAUGUAAGAAAAAAUAUCUCCUGGAAAAUUCGUAAUUUUAGAUCUUCCUUCACAUUGGGUCGAAGAUGUUGUUUGCUGGUUUAAUAAUAGGGUAUCUAGGGGAGGAGGAAAGUACUGAUAUCUAGCAUCUGCUAAUUUCUGUGGUGACAAUAACAUUACUAUGGCUGAUUUCAGGCUACCAAUGUGAUAUCAUGAACUAGGAAUUGGGGAGAGAUGUGGACCGUCAGCUGACACAAGCUAGUGUGAGCUAGCUUCAUCCAGCACCCUACUGAUUUAAAGAGUGAACUCAUAUUACUUGAAUAAUCCAGCAAUAAAAAGAUCAUAGAAGGGUUAUAUAUUCAGUAAAAAGGUGAACUAGAAAAAAUAAACAACCCAUUGGAACAUUUAAUAUAUUUAUUGCCUAUUUAUAAUUUGAUUCUGCAACUUAAAAUACAGAGGUCCUUUCUAAAAAUGUUUACACAGGCACCUGGCCUCACCUAGUUUUCCAGGUCAGCUGUAUGCCAUUCUCAAAGUUCAGGAAACCCUAACAAGAAUUGCUUUAGGACUUAUCUCUGAUGCAUCUGACAAAGCAAAUACAAUAUUGGUCUGAAGAAGAAACUCUCCAGCUAGUUUGCACAGAAAACAUCCAGUGAAAAAUAAUAAGUUCAUAAUACAAAAAUUAAAACAUGCAAUGAAACAAAAUAUAUGUCAACAUUAGCAGAAACAAAAAUAAGCAGUAUAAACCUUAAACAACUGUAUAAAUUUUGUGUGUGUGUUUGUCUCUAUGUUUGUGUGUGGAGGCAUAUCUGUGUGAUUCCAUGUCUUUAAUAAUGGUAGAACCAUUUGUGCUUUCAAAAUCUUCUGAAUGAGUUUAAGGCUAUAUUUUUGUCAAAGAAGUUCUGGAUUUCACCCAGUUUUCAAAUUUAUUUUCACAGAACUUCCUGAAAACUUUCUUAUUACUUCAGUUUUAUUGUAGGUAUAAUUAUGUUUUACUGUUCAUUUCUGUGACUACUUAUGUCUCACUCCUUUUUUUAUCAUAUUUUCAAU